UGCAGUCGAACGGCAGCACGGGGGCAACCCUGGUGGCGAGUGGCGAACGGGUGAGUAAUAUAUCGGAACAUAUCCGGAAGUGGGGGAUAACGUACCGAAAGGUACGCUAAUACCGCAUAUGCCCCGAGGGGGAAAGGAGGGGAUCCGUAAGGACCUUUCGCUUUCGGAGUGGCCGAUAUCGGAUUAGCUAGUUGGUGAGGUAAAGGCUCACCAAGGCGACGAUCCGUAGCUGGUCUGAGAGGACGACCAGCCACACUGGAACUGAGACACGGUCCAGACUCCUACGGGAGGCAGCAAUGGGGAAUUUUGGACAAUGGGGGCAACCCUGGUCCAGCCAUUCCGCGUGAGUGAAGAAGGCCUUCGGGUUGUAAAGCUCUUUCAGCCGGAAAGAAACGGUUACGAAUAAUACUCGUGACUAAUGACGGUACCGGCAGAAGAAGCACCGGCUAACUACGUGCCAGCAGCCGCGGUAAUACGUAGGGUGCGAGCGUUAAUCGGAAUUACUGGGCGUAAAGCGUGCGCAGGCGGUUUGGUAAGACAGACGUGAAAUCCCCGGGCUUAACCUGGGAACUGCGUUUGUGACUGCCAGACUAGAGUGCGGCAGAGGGGGGUAGAAUUCCACGUGUAGCAGUGAAAUGCGUAGAUAUGUGGAGGAAUACCGAUGGCGAANGCAGCCCCCUGGGUCGACACUGACGCUCAUGCACGAAAGCGUGGGGAGCAAACAGGAUUAGAUACCCUGGUAGUCCACGCCCUAAACGAUGUCAACUAGGUGUCGGGGAAGGAGACUUCUUUAGUACCGCAGCUAACGCGAUAAGUUGACCGCCUGGGGAGUACGGUCGCAAGAUUAAAACUCAAAGGAAUUGACGGGGACCCGCACAAGCGGUGGNNUNUGUGGAUUAAUUCGAUGCAACGCGAAAAACCUUACCUACCCUUGACAUGUCAGAANAUUGCANANNUGUGAUUGUGCCCGAAAGGGAAUCUGANCAC
rnacentral:rRNA from 1 species